UCCCUCCAGCCCUGUGUAUGCUGUGAGUGAUGAAAUGCAACCCAUUAAACCCUUUGUGGAGGGUUUAAUUUGCACAUCCCCUGGCUGUGAUUAUUAUGUCUUGUUAUUUUUGUGAUUAUUACUCUCUAGGGGGAACCCCCAUCUCUAGAGACUUUGAGAAGGCUCAUCCAGGAGGAGUUAGCCAAACAGCUAGAUGCAAAGUUAACCUAUCUCCUGGCUCAGAUACAGCCUGCACAUGUAAAAGCAUCCCAUGGCAGACCAGGACCUCCUGGUCCCCCUGGGAAGGAAGGACUCCCAGGAAGAACUGGCCCUCCAGGAGAGCCUGGCCGGCCUGGACAGACUGGGUCUGAAGGGCCACCUGGACCGAUUGGUCCCAAAGGAGAAAGAGGAGCAAAGGGUGACAAAGGAGACACUGGUGUUGGCCAACGAGGGGAAAUAGGUCCUCCAGGAAUUCCAGGCCUCCCAGGGGAGCCUGGCUAUGCCAAAGACGGGAUGCCAGGACCACCCGGCCCUCAAGGCGAAGCUGGUAUGCCUGGUCUCAUGGGUCCACAGGGACCUCCGGGAGCCAACGGACAGU